AUUCCAGCUCCAAUAGCGUAUAUUAAAGUUGUUGCAGUUAAAAAGCUCGUAGUCGGAUUUUGGCAUCACGCCGAACUGUCUGCCGAUUGGUAAGUACGGUUUGGCGGGUGCUUCCUUCCGGAGGCUCGUUCCCUUCCUCAUUGAAGGGUUCGUUGGUUCCGGGUCUUUUACUUUGAGAAAAUUAGAGUGUUCAAAGCAGGCCUAUGCUCUGAAUAGGUUAGCAUGGAAUAAUAGAAUAGGACUUUGGUUCUAUUUUGUUGGUUUCUAGGACCGAAGUAAUGAUUAAUAGGGACAGUUGGGGGCAUUCAUAUUCCAUUGUCAGAGGUGAAAUUCUUGGAUUAACGGAAGAUGAACUUCUGCGAAAGCAUCUGCCAAGGAUGUUUUCAUCG
rnacentral:rRNA from 1 species